GCUAAUGCGGGGGCAGAGGCCGGGGAAAGACGUGGGGGGCGAGCGUUAAUCGGAAUUACUGGGCGUAAAGCGUGCGCAGGCGGUUUUGUAAGACAGAGGUGAAAUCCCCGGGCUCAACCUGGGAACUGCCUUUGUGACUGCAAGGCUAGAGUGCGGCAGAGGGGGAUGGAAUUCCGCGUGUAGCAGUGAAAUACGUAGAUAUGCGGAGGAACACCGAUGGCGAAGGCAAUCCCCUGGGCCUGCACUGACGCUCAUGCACGAAAGCGUGGGGAGCAAACAGGAUUAGAUACCCUAGUAGUC
rnacentral:rRNA from 1 species